rnacentral:rRNA from 1 species
AUUGAACGCUGGCGGCAUGCCUUACACAUGCAAGUCGAACGGUAACAGGUCUUCGGAUGCUGACGAGUGGCGAACGGGUGAGUAAUACAUCGGAACGUGCCCAGACGUGGGGGAUAACGAGGCGAAAGCUUUGCUAAUACCGCAUACGAUCUAAGGAUGAAAGCAGGGGACCGCAAGGCCUUGCGCGUUUGGAGCGGCCGAUGGCAGAUUAGGUAGUUGGUGGGAUAAAAGCUUACCAAGCCGACGAUCUGUAGCUGGUCUGAGAGGACGACCAGCCACACUGGGACAUGGAAAAGGGCCCGACUCCCAAGGGAGGGAACAGUGGGGAAAUUUUGGAAAAGGGGGAAAACCCGAAUCCAGAAAGGCGGGGGGAGGGAGAAAGGCCUUGGGGUUUAAAACUGUUUUUGUAGGGAAGAAAAAGGCUCUGGUUAAAUCCGGGGGCACUUAAGGGAACCGAAAAAAAAACCCCCGGUAAAUACGGG